AGUGAACGCUGGCGGCAGGCCUAACACAUGCAAGUCGAACGGCAGCAUAGGGGAGCUUGCUCCCUGGGUGGCGAGUGGCGGACGGGUGAGGAAUACAUCGGAAUCUACCCUGUCGUGGGGGAUAACGUAGGGAAACUUACGCUAAUACCGCAUACGACCUCCGGGUGAAAGCAGGGGAUCGCAAGACCUUGCGCGAUUGGAUGAGCCGAUGUCCGAUUAGCUAGUUGGCGGGGUAAAGGCCCACCAAGGCGACGAUCGGUAGCUGGUCUGAGAGGAUGAUCAGCCACACUGGAACUGAGACACGGUCCAGACUCCUACGGGAGGCAGCAGUGGGGAAUAUUGGACAAUGGGCGAAAGCCUGAUCCAGCCAUGCCGCGUGGGUGAAGAAGGCCUUCGGGUUGUAAAGCCCUUUUGUUGGGAAAGAAAACUUUCCGGUUAAUACCCGGAGAGAAUGACGGUACCCAAAGAAUAAGCACCGGCUAACUUCGUG
rnacentral:rRNA from 1 species